UACGGGGGGGGCAAGCGUUGGUCGGAAUUACUGGGCGUAAAGGGCUCGUAGGCGGCUAACUAAGUCGGACGUGAAAUCCCCAGGCUCAACCUGGGAACUGCGUCCGAUACUGGAUGGCUUGAAUCCGGGAGAGGGAUGCAGAAUUCCAGGUGUAGCGGUGAAAUGCGUAGAUAUCUUGAGGAAUACCGGUGGCGAAGGCGGCAUCCUGGACCGGCAUUGACGCUGAGGAGCGAAAGCCAGGGGAGCAAACGGG
rnacentral:rRNA from 1 species